AUGGACAUUAUCAACGAUGCCACUGUGGACUCACCCUCUAUCAGGGCAGAAACAACUGUCACCCAGUCUCUAGAAUUCCUUUCCACGGCCACAGGAGAAAAAGUCACCAUCACUUGCAGAACCAGCACAGAUACUGAUGAUGACAUGAACUGGUACCAGCAGAAAUCAGGGGAAGCUCCUAAGCUCCUGUUUUCAGAAGGCAAUACCCGUAUUUCUGGAGUUCCACCCCGGUUCACCAGCAGUGGCUACGGAACAGAUUUCACCAUGGCAAUUGAUGGCGUGCAGUUUGAGGAUGCUGGAAUUUACUUUUGA